rnacentral:rRNA from 1 species
AUACGUAGGGGGCGAGCGUUGUCCGGAAUGAUUGGGCGUAAAGGGCGCGUAGGCGGCCCGGUAAGUCUGGAGUGAAAGUCCUGUUUUUAAGAUGGGAAUUGCUUUGGAUACUGUCGGGCUUGAGUGCAGGAGAGGUAAGUGGAAUUCCCAGUGUAGCGGUGAAAUGCGUAGAGAUUGGGAGGAACACCAGUGGCGAAGGCGACUUACUGGACUGUAACUGACGCUGAGGCGCGAAAGUGUGGGGAGCAAACAGGAUUAGAUACCCUGGUAGUCCACACUGUAAACGAUGAAUGCUAGGUGUAGGAGGUAUCGACCCCUUCUGUGCCGCAGUAAACACAGUAAGCAUUCCGCCUGGGGAGUACGGUCGCAAGAUUAAAACUCAAAGGAAUUGACGGGG